GAAGCCCAGAACACCUGUGAAAAUCUGCUGGAGUUUGCAAUAACCCCAGGCAUUUAGGACUUUUCAGAAGGAGGAAGAAGGUAGGAGCAUGGAGGCUGAGAGCAGGGAGUACAGGACAUGACUGAGAAGAAGGAUUGAUCUUGAAUGUUUGGGUAAGCCGAGAAAAAAUCGUAUAACGUAAGUCUUCCAUAAGUAUUAUUUGCUAGAUAGGCUUUAGGUUGUGGUUUUCUCAUCUUAAUCUGUUAAGCAAAAAUUGACUGUAUCUCCUGUAGCUCCUAGUGAUGCAU
rnacentral:lncRNA from 1 species